ACACACACACACACACACACACACACACACACACACAGGACAAACUAUGCACACAUUAAUGAAUUCUCCCUCAAACGCAAAAACCGUGUUCAGCUCACUCUAUCGCACCACACACACGGCAGCUCAGAAUGCAAGAAAUGCUGGCUGUUUAACUUCAGGGAAAUCAAACACACUCCUACACACACGGCGACUUAAGUGCUGGAAUCUGUACACAGAAGUACUAGAUAUCCAUACCAAAUGACCCUCCGGUCCAAAUCUCUCCUCUUAACUACACACCCCAUCGCAAUCCUGCCCUGGGCUGUAGAUAACGGCGCCGCCGUGACCCUUAACUCUGAGGGAUCAGACAGAUCUCUACACCUGGCAUGUACGGUCACAUCAGAGUAACUGUUUGUCUUCAGUUCUUGUCUUGAUUGGAGCGAUGACUCCAGUGAGACUGCCAGCAGACUCUUUACAAAUCUUGACAAAGCACAUCCCGCUGAGAAUCCGCCUACGGUCAGUCUCUGAGGUUAGUGGCGUGACACUAACUCCCUGCUAAUUUAUGUUUCUUGAGGAUUAUCGAUGUUGCAUAUGUGUGUCAGUGGGUAUUAAUUGUACUUUAGUGCUCUAUCAGAGAAUUCAGGGACAGUCAGCCAGACAUUAUCUCAAAAACACAAGAGACAAAUAAAUAAAAAAUAAUGAAGUGGAUUUGAGAUUUUAUAAUGAAAAGAAAGAGUGGAGAGAUGCGACAAGGAGUAAUUAUACAGUUAGAGGUCAUUAUUCAAAAUUAUUUAAUUGCAGAAUGCCUCGAUUGUCCAAUCAGAAUCAACAUCUUGAAGACAACAUCCAAUAAAAACAGAAUUUUUAAACCUUAAAUUCUGACUAAUACCAAUAAGCCUAUAAUUGUUUUCAUGUUAUGAUCAAUAAAAAAACAAAAAACACAAAAAAAUAUAUACUUCAAAAUUCCAAUUUCCUGAUAUUUUACUCACCUCCAGAUUUUCAUGUCUUCAGCUGAAAAUAAAUUAAGGUUUGUGAGGAAAAUAUUCCAGGAUUUUUCUCCAUAUAGUGGACUUCAACAGGGACCAAAGGGUUGAAGGUCCAGUUUCAGUGCAGCUUCAAAGAGCUCUACAUGAUCCCAGAUGCACAUCAACCCAAACCAUCGACCAUUUUCUAAAAAAUAAAAACUUGUAUACUUUUUAACCACAAAUGCUCGUCUUGCACUAGCUCUGCGAUGUGCCACGCAUUACGUAAUCACGUUUAAUGGCAUUUCAUGCAUUCUGAAUAUUUUACACUGUUAAAGAGUUUGAUUCUCAUGCAAACAGAGCAUUAGUAUUUCAUGUCAAAUAGACUCCUUCAGGGAUCGUAUAAUUUGUUUUUUUUGUGUAUGGCCCUGUAUGACAUCAUAAAGGGAUCAUCAACGUACUUCGUUCGGGUUAUUACGGAAGUUGUCCGCAGCGCUGCACUUGAGAAAGAUUUGUCAUUUUGUAUGUGUGAUAAAACUAAAGACUCUUUGGAGAUAUGAAGGAAGCACUACUACUCUAUAUAGGUACUCAAGAUUGACAAGAUUGGCAGAAACUGUGUGCGUUAUGCACCCUUUAACACAUUUCAACAUUAUUUCCCAAUACAUGUUCUGUUUUGCAAAAGACCAAUGCGAAUUGAAAUGCUGUUUUGGCUUCGUUUUUCAUAGCAAGGAAACAUAUUGAAUCACUAUCCAAACAACCCUUCAGGCACGGCAUGCCUAAAACACAGAAUCUCAUUGGUUCCUCAUGAACGCUGAUCCAGGGUCAGCCAUGCUGUAAAAAUACCGCAGUGCCGCUCCGCUGUCAGACAGUCCGGCCUCUCAUUGAUCUUACUCGGACUACAGAGGAACACCGGUAUGUCUCCAAACCCUUUGACAGGCCGCUCUUUUCCCAGAAUGACUUUUGACCCUCAAAGGCUAGACCGGGCAAACACCACCUGCUCCUCCGUGAUCAACACACUGCUGGACUAGAAUAAACACACAAACGAGCAAAUACGCUCUCAUCUUAUGAGCUCAAGAAUGCAGGAAGGGUCAGACGCUCAUGCCUGCAUAUAAACAUGGGCACAUGCGCAGAGAUGUCCAAUGGAACCAGGGACAUUUCUAAAGGCAGAGGAGGGGUCAGUGCUGGUGUCUCUGUGUGGGUCACCGUGAGGACCAGACACACAUCCACAGGGGGCAAGACCCUUCACGACACGCAGACGGCCUCAUGCCUGGUGGGCCGCCAAAGGACAACCAUUCACAACUGCCACCGCCACGUCCACAAACACUUCAGCCGAGACACCUGAACCUGUUUGUACUGCCACAGCCAAGCUAUUUCAUGUUCCAAUGUCAGAAGCACCACAAAUGAAGUUAUUUUUGUAAUAUUACUGUCUGAAGUGUUUUUCAUAUUCUUCUUUUGCAAUUAUAGUUGCAUCUCAUCUCUCCACCAAAACAAAACAUUCAGGACUACAUCUGGAUUGUUAAUAAAAAGCUCACAGGCUCAAAAAUAAGCUGUUUUUCUUCAUGCACAUGCAAAGUAGUUUUUACAUUACCUGACAUCUUUUUCUCUAGCCAAGCCACAAAAGUUCAAAAGUGUUUCUUUUAUAAAAGACAAAACACCACGAUCUGGUAAAUGGUACAGUUAGAAUGCAACUCAUGCAAUUCAUAAUAAACACACUUUUGCUGGAAAAUAAUAGACAUACGAUGCAGAACAUCACUGACUGCCAGAGCCAGUCUUGUUGAAUUUUAUCUUCGUUGAAGACUAUCUUUGGGACAAAGCAGCAGAAUUUGCAACAACAAUGCAGAAAACAUCACAAAAAGCAAGUUUCAAUCAGCAAAAAAUUGCAAAAAUACACAAAAUGUCCAUCAACACAAGCAUCAACAGCCAAUGAAAAGCAUUAAGUGAUUGUGAAUGAUGUCUGUUUCCUGUGCUGUCCAUCUUGAUCUAGUCUGCACCGGAUCAGCUGGGAAUUUCCCACAGAGCUAGUAAGGAAUCCGAUCACAGCAUCCCAGAGAAACAAAACAAUCUGUUUGGAUUUCCUCCAUCCUUGUAGGGCAGGAAGUGAGGAAAAUUGUGCUAGCGGACAGAUGAAAGGAAGAGGUGGAGCCGGACUGAUUUACAAUAUCCCCCAACUCAACUCAGACCUAAAAAACGGAGUGCAUUCUUCUCGUAUGUAUACGAAACCACAUGGUGAUGCACUUAUAAGGAUGUUGAAAUUUACCUGUUCUCCUGAGACUUGCUGGAAUAUCUGCAGAGCGACAAACACACUUCACAUAACGUGAUAACGUGACCCCCCUCUUUCCCCAAACCUCUCCUAAUGAGGCACAGUGGGACUGGAAUUCACAGACCCGAUUCUGCGAAGACUCCUACCUGCCUGUUCACCAGAUGGGCUACAGACAGAGUAAUGGUGGGCAGAUCAUGCACUGCGUGAAAUAAAAUAACUUUACCACCCGAGCCAAAUGCUUUAGUCAUUGUGAAAAAUAGCCAAAAGAUGGUAUUCUUAAAAUGAACUUGACAGGAACAAGGUAAACCAUUUUGGGCAGGUUUCCCAGACAAAGAUUAAGCAAAGUCCUAGACUAAAAUGAUGAUUUUAGCAAGAAAAUCUAUCAUAAUCCAGUGUCGCACUUUAACUGCAUCUAGAAAACCAGUUAUGAAGUGUAAUUUGUAAUGCAGAAGCCUUAAAGUUGCUUGAGUCUAGACAAUUCCUCAGAGUAGGGGUGGGCGAUAAACGAUAUCAUAUGGAGAAGUAAAUUUACAUUGAUAACGAUGAUGGACAUUUUUACUUGAUAUGGAUUAAUCUAACUUCACAAGCUUUUCACCGUUUCAUUUGAGAAAAACUACCUUGAAACACACUGAAACAAACUUAGAUCUUUAUGACAAACUGUCAAAUAUAUUUUCUUCAAAUUAAGCCGAAGUUUUGACAAAUAUAUCACUACUGUAUACUAAAAUGUACUUCUCAAAGUAAUAAUUAUAUUAUAUUGAGAUAUUUUUUCAUCAAAGUUUUAAAUCGAUACGGUUUUGUUGUGCAGCAUCUUAUUUGACAAAAAUUAAAAAUGCAAUGUUUUGUUGUAAAUUGAUUGAAAUUUUUCAUUCGAUUACAUUUUUAAAGCUUGACUAAAUCAUAAAACACUGAAAACAAAGUAUUUGGGGGAAAAUACAAAGGAUUUAAUCGGGCCCUAAAUUAAAACGUAGUUACUCUGUGGAGUUUAAUUAAGAAAAAACAAGUUUACAUGUUUACAUUCAUUCUCAAGGUCUAACAAAUAUUUCUUUACCCAUUAAUUUUAAAUGAGUAUCGUGAUAAAUAUCGAAGUCUCAAAGUCAAGAAGGAUGCACACAAAAAUAAACAUUCUAAUAUAUUUAGAUGGUCUUCUCCCAACAUUUUCCUCCUAAACCAUGUGCCAAAUGAGACCCAUGUGUGAUCUAAACAGAGCAUAAAUCUUACAUUAAAUGAAAAAAAACUUGCCAAAUCAUAGAUCUUGUAUUUUUAGCAUUUGUGCCAAGCAUCUACCAAAUAUGAAACCUUUUGGUCUGGGGACGUUCACUAUAGAGGCCUUCUAAACGGCUGCGGUGGCCAUUUAUUGACCACAGAGCAUUGAUAAGAUUGCUUCUUCCCCAGAGGGUUGAAGUUUAAUUAAAAAAUCUGAAGCAUCACUUCCUCUCCUUGGUGUUACAACACUCCCUAGAGAACAACAGAGCCAGCUCAGUCACCGUGAGUCAUUAUGCACAGUAUCCAUCUUUCACUUCCUAAAACUUACUGAGGUUUAAUCAUAUUAGUCAAUAACAGGUGAGUCAAAGUUCAACGGAUUGUCUUACUAAAGGGCAAAGCGGUUUUUGGGAUAGGCAAUGAUAAAGCAGAUAUCUCAAAAAAACUACAUUGCUUUGAAUUAUAUACUUCAAUGGCGGUUUAUCGGGCUACUAAUUAGCUUAAUUUUUAGCACUGCUAAACUCAUGAUGAUUGACAGCGAUAAUCACAACGUUUCAAUGUCCUACAGGUGUAAACAUGAAACAUAGCUGUUAAUAGUUUAACUCUUUUGGUGCAAGCCAUUUUUGACUAAAUUAACAUUUGGAUUCAAAGAUGUAGCUACUUAAUGACUGUAUCAGACUACUAAUUAGCUCAUACUAACACUGUUAAAUUUGCAAAGACAGUAAUAACCAUAGCAACAAUUCAGUUCUCUGCAAGUGUAAACAAGAAACACAUUUGCUAACAUUUUAAAUCCUUUGGCUAUUUUUGGACAAAAUAAUAUUUGCACCCAGAGACGUAGCUUUGAUUUGACUACUUGGCUGUUUAUAAGACUACUAAUUAACUCAGUUAAUUUAAAAAAAAAAAAAAAAAAAACUCUCAAAGAUUGAGAC